CCGCUACGGCACGCAGCAGC
rnacentral:misc_RNA from 1 species